rnacentral:rRNA from 1 species
GGUUAAGUGACUAAGCGUACACGGUGGAUGCCUAGGCAGUCAGAGGCGAUGAAGGGCGUGCUAAUCUGCGAAAAGCGUCGGUAAGGUGAUAUGAACCGUUAUAACCGGCGAUACCCGAAUGGGGAAACCCAGUGUGUUUCGACACACUAUCAUGUCAUGAAUACAUAGUGGCAUGAGGCGAACCGGGGGAACUGAAACAUCUAAGUACCCCGAGGAAAAGAAAUCAACC